UACGUAGGUGGCAAGCGUUGUCCGGCAUUAUUGGGCGUAAAGCGCGCGCAGGCGGUUUGCUAAGUCCAUCUUAAAAGUGCGGGGCUUAACCCCGUGAUGGGAUGGAAACUGGCAGACUGGAGUAUCGGAGAGGAAAGCGGAAUUCCUAGUGUAGCGGUGAAAUGCGUAGAGAUUAGGAAGAACACCGGUGGCGAAGGCGGCUUUCUGGACGACAACUGACGCUGAGGCGCGAAAGCGUGGGGAGCAAACAGG
rnacentral:rRNA from 1 species